rnacentral:rRNA from 1 species
GAUGAACGCUGGCGGCGUGCCUAAUACAUGCAAGUCGAGCGAAUGGAUUAAGAGCUUGCUCUUAUGAAGUUAGCGGCGGACGGGUGAGUAACACGUGGGUAACCUGCCCAUAAGACUGGGAUAACUCCGGGAAACCGGGGCUAAUACCGGAUAACAUUUUGAACCGCAUGGUUCGAAAUUGAAAGGCGGCUUCGGCUGUCACUUAUGGAUGGACCCGCGUCGCAUUAGCUAGUUGGUGAGGUAACGGCUCACCAAGGCAACGAUGCGUAGCCGACCUGGGAGGGUGAGCGGCCACACUGGGACUGGGACACGGCCCAGACUCCUACGGGAGGCAGCAGUAGGGAAUCUUCCGCAAUGGAAGAAAGUCUGACGGAGCAACGCCGCGUGAGUGAUGAAGGCUUUCGGGUCGUAAAACUCUGUUGUUAGGGAAGAACAAGUGCUAGUUGAAUAAGCUGGCACCUUGACGGUACCUAACCAGAAAGCCACGGCUAACUACGUGCCAGCAGCCGCCGUAA